CCUACGGGUGGCAGCAGUCGAGAAUCAUUCACAAUGGGGGAAACCCUGAUGGGGCGACGCCGCGUGGGGGAAUGAAGGUCUUCGGAUUGUAAACCCCUGUCAUGUGGGAGCAAAUUAAAAAGAUAGUACCACAAGAGGAAGAGACGGCUAACUCUGUGCCAGCAGCCGCGGUAAUACAGAGGUCUCAAGCGUUGUUCGGAAUCACUGGGCGUAAAGCGUGCGUAGGCUGUUUCGUAAGUCGUGUGUGAAAGGCGCGGGCUCAACCCGCGGACGGCACAUGAUACUGCGAGACUAGAGUACUGGAGAGGGAACCGGAAUUCUCGGUGUAGCCGUGAAAUGCGUAGAUAUCGAGAGGAACACUCGUGGCGAAGGCGGGUUCCUGGACAUUAACUGACGCUGAGGCACGAAGGCCAGGGGAGCGAAAGGGAUUAGAUACCCCUGUAGUC
rnacentral:rRNA from 1 species